UACGGAGGGUGCGAGCGUUAAUCGGAAUUACUGGGCGUAAAGGGUGCGUAGGUGGUUAAUUAAGUUAUCUGUGAAAUCCCUGGGCUUAACCUGGGCAGGUCAGAUAAGACUGGUUGACUCGAGUAUAGGAGAGGGUAGUGGAAUUUCCGGUGUAGCGGUGAAAUGCGUAGAGAUCGGAAGGAACAUCGGUGGCGAAGGCGGCUACCUGGCCUGAUACUGACACUGAGGCACGAAAGCGUGGGGAGCAAACAGG
rnacentral:rRNA from 1 species